rnacentral:other from 1 species
CGGUCGCUGCCUGGUGCGUCAGGUCCACAGAUCCCUGGGGCCAAUGUUCUCUCGAUAGGGAGCUGUCCCUGCCCUGGCCGUGGUCAGGGCAAUACGGCGCCCACCUGCUUAGGCAGGCCACAGAGGACUUAUCGACCAACGGCCAAGGUGGCUCCGCC